CUGGCUCAGGAUGAACGCUGGCGGCGUGCUUAACACAUGCAAGUCGAACGGAAUUAUCUGGAUAGAGGAUUCGUCCAAUUGAAGGGUAUGUUAGUGGCGGACGGGUGAGUAACGCGUGAGUAACCUGCCUUGGAGUGGGGAAUAACAGUCCGAAAGGAUUGCUAAUACCGCAUGAUGCAGUUGGGUCGCAUGGCCCUGACUGCCAAAGAUUUAUCGCUCUGAGAUGGACUCGCGUCUGAUUAGCUAGUUGGCGGGGUAAUGGCCCACCAAGGCGACGAUCAGUAGCCGGACUGAGAGGUUGACCGGCCACAUUGGGACUGAGAUACGGCCCAGACUCCUACGGGAGGCAGCAGUGGGGAAUAUUGGGCAAUGGGCGAAAGCCCUGACCCAGCAACGCCGCGUGAAGGAAGAAGGCUUUCGGGUUGUAAACUUCUUUUAUGAGGGACGAAGAAAGUGACGGUACCUCAUGAAUAAGCCACGGCUAACUACGUGCCAGCCGCGGC
rnacentral:rRNA from 1 species